rnacentral:tRNA from 1 species
GGUGAACUGGGCCAACGAGGAAGGCGCGCGGUUCGCACCCGCGAUGAUGGCGUCGGGCGUGUUCGCCGGCGAGAUCCCUCUCGAGUACGCCU